rnacentral:rRNA from 1 species
CACGUAGGGGGCAAGCGUUGUCCGGAUUUAUUGGGCGUAAAGAGCUCGUAGGCGGCUCAGUAAGUCGGGUGUGAAACCUCCAGGCUCAACCUGGAGACGCCGCCUGAUACUGCUGUGGCUAGAGUCCGGUAGGGGAGCGUGGAAUUCCUGGUGUAGCGGUGAAAUGCGCAGAUAUCAGGAGGAACACCAGCGGCGAAGGCGGCGCUCUGGGCCGGAACUGACGCUGAGGAGCGAAAGCGUGGGUAGCAAACAGG